CUCCAUUGGCCGGUUUCGCAGAUACAGAUAAAUCAUAGUCUAGGACUAAAAGAAGUUCAUUAGAGAAAUCCAUUGGGCUUGUUUUUUAGUCCUAGGCUAUAGGCUUAAUCUGUGUCUGCGAAACCGGCCCCCAUGGGUAUUACAUUUAAAUCCUGGACUAGUCUUAAUCGGUUUUAGUGGAAACCGCCCCAUACGGUGCAGUCCAUUCCAGCCUCCAUUCGAAUUCCCGCUCGCACGAUUUAAUGCAUUUCCCAUUUGUCCUGACAUCACACAUUCAGAAUCCUUCUCGACACACGUAGCGGGUGGGAGGAACGACUGUGCACGUGAACCCACUACAACUCCGCCUUGACCUACCGGUAUUUUCAGACCAGCUUUGAUCCGUGAGAAAACGACUGUUUUACACACUUGGCGCUGUGCUUUUGAUGGCGUUCUUGCAGAGGACUGGAGAUUACUGCCACGCUCAACAUCCCAGGGCAUAGGCGGCCGAUCCAGUGACCAGGGGGAGGAUGACCACUGCUCUGCCCUCACCGCAGACCAAGCUGCACUGAUCCCUGGGUGAAACAGGACCCCCC
ensembl:lncRNA